CUUCUAGAAAAUCUUCGCUGUGAAACGUCGUGGAGUGCAGAAACGGCAGCCAUCAUAUUCGUAACCCAGAAAUUCUGCCCCCGUCACUAAAAUAGUUCCUUUUGGAGUAAAACAUCUUGGAAGCUAUCCAUAGCGAGAGCCGGCAUUUAGUAUUCUGAUACAUCAGCAAAUAGUACAAAUAAAUCUAGCCAUUAGUGGGCGGCAGUGCACAGAGAAAAAUAUUGGAGCUUGUAAAUUUUGAAAAAUGACUCGUGGUAAUCAACGUGAGCUAGCUCGAGAAAGGAAUAUGAAGAAACAGCAAACCGCUAAAGCGAAAAACAAGGAAGACGGACUCACUCACGAGCAACGAAAGCAACGCGAUGCCGAUAUAAUGCGACAGAAGCAACAGAAGAAGGAACAGGCCCAGCAAGCGCAACCCGCUAAGAGUUAAUGUUGACUGUCGAAAGACUCCAGUUCGUUGACCGCUUGCAGGAAUGCCGACACAUCCCGCUUCAAUCGCACUUGUUUCCCCCAGCUACCACUUGAAGAAAUUCAAUACUGUUGCGAUAUGAUUAAUACCAUUGAAUCAAACUAACUGAUGAAGAGAGCCAUUUUACACACAGGCAAUUUUCCAUUGUUUAUUUUCUAUGCUGUUUUAGUAAAGGUUAAUGAUUAUCCAUUAUGAUUAGUUGGUAGAUACAAGUUUGACAAAAUGUUUUUUUAAAUUUUUUUUUGCGACAAUACACUGUUUAUCUAAGUAAUUUUCAUACCUAACAAUCAAAGGAUAUGUUUUGAAGAACAGUUUGUAGAAAACGAUUGCAUCUGCAGAAAUAUCGUUUUAAAAGUCGGUAUGCUUUGAAAAGUCGUAGUAAAACUGCCAUUUAUGCACAUUAUCAGUUCCUGCAUCGGCACAAUUUGUGACUACACAGUUCUCGCCAGGUAUUGAACAGCAAUGUAAUAACAAUUGUGGAUCAAAAUUGCUGAAACUUUCUCAGCAGAUUUUAGUAGAAACAAAAACUUUCACAAAACGAAUAGUCGAGUGUAAAACAAUAGUAGCAAUGUAUUCAUUGAAGCUUAACGGCCAAGGAACGCCAAAUCAAAGAAAUUCGAGAACUAAUCGAAGGUUUUGUUCUAAUAAGUAAGAAAUCGUGCACAGCUAGUUGGAUCAACGGGAGAACUAAUGAAAAUAAUAGAUUGAAACCAACACAACAAAAGUAUCAGAAACGAAAAUUGUAUAAACUUUAAUAAUAAGCAUAAAAUCGAA